rnacentral:lncRNA from 1 species
UUGAAUAAAAUAAAGUUUUCAGAAAAUGUUAGGCUUUAUUUUGAUACCGACCAUUGAUUACAAUUUGCAGAAAUAAAAAAGUGACAGAUAAAAAACCUCAUUUUCUGUCCGGGUUUAUCAUGAUCAGUACCAGUAUGUAUGCUAAGUCAAACAGUGACCAUUCAGAGGUUAUACAUAACCUCUAACCAAGCAAAAAAUUAAAGAAGAAAAAUAUUUAUCAACCCCUGAACAGCUGAAGACGAUAUAUACUGGGUAUACCAAUUACCGGGAUAUACAUAUUACCGUGAAUGUCCUGUUUUGACACUUAACAUGAAAAUUGCUUUACAAUUUUUCUCUCAUUAUUCAUGCUCAAUGUGCUUAGAUUUUUAGCAAAACUAUUUUUGAAAAUUGGAGUGUCUUUCUUUUUAUUUCACCCUGAUCCCAGAAAUUAAGGAAUUUAGCUAAGUGUAUUAUCAUAUGUUUAAACUUCGCAAUUUUUCACCGCAAAUUUUCAGUGAAGUUGCUUAUUUCUGCCAUAUCUUUUUCAUAUUUUGUUUGGCCCAUUGUAAAAUAGAAAUGCUUUCUUUGUCUUAGAUCAAUUUAACAACUUCUUUAGAUUGAAAGUUGAAAUUCAUGGUAAUAGGUAUAUGCCAGAAAAUGCUAAAAUUCCCCACCUCUGUUCUUUGAAUGACAGUAGUGGAACGUUUACUUGGUGUUUUGAAGAUUUUUUUGCCAAAAGUCUAAAGCUAAAAUAUAAAUUAAUUAAACAGAAUAGAAUUUAUCCUUUCAUAUAAUGUCAAUGAUUUUGUUAUAAUUGAGAGUCCACUGAAUAUAAGACUCCCGGUAAUUGGUAUACCCAGUAUUAGCUAAAAAUAUUCAGCUCAGAGAUGUUUAUAUGCUGUUAUGGAUCUCUGCAAUGGACGCGACCAUCAGAAAAUAAAAAUAGCGUCAGUUAAGUUAUGGUAGCCAGAACUAACCCAGUAUAAAUUCUACAGGCUCAAUAUCAUAUGCGGAUCCAGCAUUUUCUGUCAGAGGGGGUCCAAAUUCUAUGCUUUCUGCCAGAGGGGGUCCUAGUACACUUUUAUACAAAAUAACAUUAAAAUUAAUUGUAUUUACAUUAAAUUCCAAAAUCCCAGGGGGGGUCUGGACCCCCGGACCCCACCCCUGGAUCCGCGCAUGAAUAUUGUAUCCAGAGGUGGAGAAAUAUCAGAAUGAUGCCUCAUUUAGUCAUUAUGAAUCUAGCGCAAUAAAUCAGGCCUUUAGCGAAAUCCACAAACUGAACUGUAAACUGCCAUGGUCAAGGAGACAAAUUAUCCACAAUCAUAGAUCGACAGAAGAUUUUCAAAAAACUGAUGUCCCAUUUUCUUUAGUCGAAGGUCUUUAAAGUCAAUAACAAUAUUUAUAUAUAAAAGAACGUAUUUAGUUAUGCUACUAUUAUUACAUAUAUAUAAAUAAACUUACCGCUAAAUUACGGACAGUGACAGAAGGACCAUCAAUAAUUUCCAACACACAAAGGAAUAAACAAACGCGUGUGUAUGUAGUUGACUGGUAUCCGUUUUCACUCUUCGAAUCAUAAACGCAAGUCUCAGAAGUCGUGAACCAGUCAUGUGUAAUUGAAUCGACGCGUCCAUUUCAUAACACGCUAAGAUUAGGGGUGUCAGCUUGGUUAAUGCAUCAUUUCUUAUUUAAGUUCUAAUCAGCGGUUGUAGGCGUUUAUAAUAACAAACAUUUCGUAAGCUUUAUACAAAUGUUAAAAAGUUUUAUUAAUCCAUUCAUUUUAAUAAUCGGUAGAUACUACAAUAUUUAAGAAUGUAGCGACUGAUCACCCGCGCACCCCGUGUACAAAUAAUGAAAGCAUCCAAUUCAAAACGCGAGGUUUUUGUGUAGUGUGUAUAACCAACUACGGCUGCAGAAUAUACAGAGUCUCUGGUGUUGAUGGAAAGGAUUGUUUACCUAGAGGCAGCUUGGUAUGACAUGUUGCAAAGCAUUCUGUUUGAUUAACAGAUAAUAGAUACUGCAGACACUGAGCAAAUUAUACUUACCUAGCAGUUGCAGUAUUUCAGCCAUGGAGUCAUAAUCUUAGAAUAAAGUUCUCGGUGUUUAGGUGAAUCUGAGGAAAGUCCAAAAUAUUGCAACUGUUCCAGUUGUUUAAAUUGUAAGCAAAGACGUAUGCUGGCUUAAACACAUCAACAAGACAACAAAACACUCAUUUCAUAUGCUGGCUCCAGUGAUGUUAAUUCAGCUGCAGAUACUUCUGUUCUCAAAUAUUUAUCGACAGUACCUGUGUCAGAUGUACUGGCAAACAUGUUAUAUCUUCAUUUUUGUCGAGCCCGCUUGCGGAAGCAAAGAUAGAUGUCCAAAUGGCUGUUCUGUGUAUGUGCGUGUGUGCGUCCGUCCGUCCGUCAGGAUUUGUUUGUCCUGACCAUAACUUUGAUA